rnacentral:rRNA from 1 species
UACGGGGGGGGCAAGCGUUGUUCGGAAUUACUGGGCGCAAAGGGCUCGUAGGCGGCCAACUAAGUCGGAUGUGAAAUCCCCAGGCUUAACCUGGGAACUGCAUCCGAUACUGGAUGGCUUGAAUUCGGGAGAGGGAUGCAGAAUUCCAGGUGUAGCGGUGAAAUGCGUAGAUAUCUGGAGGAAUACCGGUGGCGAAGGCGGCAUCCUGGACCGACAUUGACGCUGAUGAGCGAAAGCUAGGGGAGCAAACGGG